CAGUAGCCACGGUAAUGCGUAGGUGGCAAGCGUUGUCCGGAAUUAUUGGGCGUAAAGGGCUCGCAGGCGGUUUCUUAAGUCUGAUGUGAAAGCCCCCGGCUCAACCGGGGAGGGUCAUUGGAAACUGGGAAACUUGAGUGCAGAAGAGGAGAGUGGAAUUCCACGUGUAGCGGUGAAAUGCGUAGAGAUGUGGAGGAACACCAGUGGCGAAGGCGACUCUCUGGUCUGUAACUGACGCUGAGGAGCGAAAGCGUGGGGAGCGAACAGGAUUAGAUACCCCCGUAGUCCCUGUCUCUUAUAC
rnacentral:rRNA from 1 species